rnacentral:misc_RNA from 1 species
GAUGAAGAACGUAGUGAAAUGCGAUAAGUAAUGUGAAUUGCAGAAUUCAGUGAAUCAUCGAAUCUUUGAACGCACAUUGCGCCCCUUGGUAUUCCGAGGGGCAUGCCUGUUCGAGCGUCAUAUUAACCACUCCCGCUUGCGGGGUCUUGGGCUUCGCCUCCGGGCGGGCCUUAAAAUCAGUGGCGGUGCCGUCGGGCUCUACGCGUAGUAAAUUUUCUCGCGAUAGGGUCCCGGUGGAUGCUUGCCAACAACCCCCAACUUCUUAAGGUUGACCUCGGAUCAGGUAGGAAUACCCGCUGAACUUAAGCAUAUCAAUAAGCGGAGGA